AUAGAACGCUGGCGGCAGGCUUAACACAUGCAAGUCGAGCGGAGAGAGGUAGCUUGCUACUGAUCUUAGCGGCGGACGGGUGAGUAAUGCUUAGGAAUCUGCCUAUUAGGGGGGGACAACAUUUCGAAAGGAAUGCUAAUACCGCAUACGUCCUACGGGAGAAAGCAGGGGAUCUUCGGACCUCGCGCUAAUAGAUGAGCCUAAGUCGGAUUAGCUAGUUGGUAGGGUAAAGGCCUACCAAGGCGACGAUCUGUAGCGGGUCUGAGAGGAUGAUCCGCCACACUGGGACUGAGACACGGCCCAGACUCCUACGGGAGGCAGCAGUGGGGAAUAUUGGACAAUGGGCGCAAGCUUGAUCCAGCCAUGCCGCGUGUGUGAAGAAGGCCUUAUGGUUGUAAAGCACUUUAAGCGAGGAGGAGGCUACUUUAGUUAAUACCUAGAGAUAGUGGACGUUACUCGCAGAAUAAGCACCGGCUAACUCUGUGCCAGCCGCCGCCGUAA
rnacentral:rRNA from 1 species